rnacentral:lncRNA from 1 species
CUCAUCUUUAGAAGUCACAUUUGCUUUAACCUGAUUAAUAAAUAACUUGAAUUAAAACUUGCUUUUUAUUGACAGGAUUCAGAGAGGGCAAAUAAGAUUCCAGAAAAGUUCUAAAAGAAUAUUCAUUUAAGAACUCUGGUUUCAAAUACAAGGAAGAGGAGAAACAACAAUAAAAGCUUAGUAUACUAAAAUUUGAUAAUUUACACUUUAUGUUAUUCAAGUAAUGUUUAUGAUUUUGGGCUUCUGUUCAAAUUUAAUUUCUUCUUUCCUUGCAAAAAUAUUCCUCUAUAGUAAGAGUUGUGCUCUUCAAAUCCAAGAUCUAAGGUAUGACAACAGAAUUAUCUGAAUGUUGAACUGCAAAGUCAUCUCUCUUCACGUGCCACCAUAUUUUACAGACAAGAUGGCUUUUUACGUAUUCAGUGGAUCUAUUCUGUUUCUGAAAAUAAAAUAAUUAAGAGAUGCACUUUCUCCAAAAGAAGACAGGACCAGCCACUUUGUACUUCAGCCUUGUGUUUACCAACUUUAAGAGCAUCUGCCCUGACACAGGUGCUUGGCAAUUUCCUGGGGCUUAGGAGGGAGCUGACUGUAGAAGAAGGAUGGCUGCAUGUGUCAGGGCCAGUGGGUUCUGCACUCAUCCUGGAAACCAUCUGGCAGAGCUCUUGUGGCAAAUGAUGCAUGGAAAGAAGGGAAAAAGCAUCUCCCAUACUGUAAGCCUUCUGUUCUCUUAAACCACAUACAUUAAAAGAGAAAG